rnacentral:rRNA from 1 species
CAGUAGCCGCGGUAACACGAAGGGGGCUAGCGUUGUUCGGAAUUACUGGGCGUAAAGCGCACGUAGGCGGAUAUUUAAGUCAGGGGUGAAAUCCCAGAGCUCAACUCUGGAACUGCCUUUGAUACUGGGUAUCUUGAGUAUGGAAGAGGUGAGUGGAAUUCCGAGUGUAGAGGUGAAAUUCGUAGAUAUUCGGAGGAACACCAGUGGCGAAGGCGGCUCACUGGUCCAUUACUGACGCUGAGGUGCGAAAGCGUGGGGAGCAAACAGGAUUAGAUACCCGCGUAGUCCCUGUCUCUUAUAC